AAGGAUUUUAAGAACUCUAUCUCAGGAUAAAGACCUGAGGGUCACAAGAUGUACAUCGCUGGCCCCAGCUGGAUUUUCCCACGGUUAGGUGCCCAUUCCUACCUAAUCAAAGGUCAUGGGUACUCAUAUGUUUUCAAGAGUUUGGAAAAUGAUCUCCCUUGCCAGGUUACCAAUCUUCAAAGGGAGGUCUAUAUUUGGAAGAAAAAGAAAAAAUUUAUGUGCAUUUACCCUGUUUAAUACACUCAUCACACAUAGUAUUUUUGCAACAGCAACAAUAACACUCUUAAUUUAGUAUGUAAUUAUAUAUGUCAUAUACUUAAUAUACAAAAUAUUUUCCUUGCUAACCUAUACGAUUUCAAAUGCCUGGAACAAUAAAUAAUUCAUGUCAUUACUUGAGAGUAUGUAAAUUUUAAUAUGUUAACAUAUACAGGCAAAGUUCUAAAAGCUGCGAUUUUAUGGGAGGCCAAAUUAUGUACAUAUUAGUUUGUCUGAAGACUUGAGCCAAAAGGAAACCAAUACAUUUUGAGCUACAAUAUGGACAUAAUGUCAUGAAGCAGGAAUAUUAUGCUCCAUUUCAGGACACUUCUGCUGACCUGCACCUAGAAUACCCUGCUCUGUGCUGAUGACUCAGAUGUAAGAAUGAUGAAGUGCAUCAGUUGGCAUGCAGAGAACAAUGAGAAAAAGAACUGAGUUGUGGGAAGACAUGAGGAAAGGACAUGAGGCUCUUAAUAACAGCUGCCAAGUACUGCAGUCGGGAAUCUGGAGCAAAGUGAUUCAAUUCUGACCACUGCCUGUGAGUAAACGGGAUUUU
rnacentral:lncRNA from 1 species